rnacentral:rRNA from 1 species
AGCGAACGCUGGCGGCAGGCUUAACACAUGCAAGUCGAGCGGGCACUUUCGGGUGUCAGCGGCGGACGGGUGAGUAACGCGUGGGAACGUGCCCUCUGGUUCGGAAUAACUCAGGGAAACUUGAGCUAAUACCGGAUACGCCCUUUUGGGGAAAGGCUUGCUGCCAGAGGAUCGGCCCGCGUCUGAUUAGCUAGUUGGUGAGGUAACGGCUCACCAAGGCGACGAUCAGUAGCUGGUCUGAGAGGAUGAUCAGCCACACUGGGACUGAGACACGGCCCAGACUCCUACGGGAGGCAGCAGUGGGGAAUAUUGGACAAUGGGCGCAAGCCUGAUCCAGCCAUGCCGCGUGAGUGAUGAAGGCCUUAGGGUUGUAAAGCUCUUUUAUCCGGGACGAUAAUGACGGUACCGGAGGAAUAAGCCCCGGCUAACUUCGUG